rnacentral:rRNA from 1 species
AGAUAAUAGAUACCCGGGUAGUCCACGCCGUAAACGAUGAAUGCUAGCCGUUGGCGAGCUUGCUCGUCAGUGGCGCAGCUAACGCUUUAAGCAUUCCGCCUGGGGAGUACGGUCGCAAGAUUAAAACUCAAAGGAAUUGACGGGGGCCCGCACAAGCGGUGGAGCAUGUGGUUUAAUUCGACGCAACGCGAAGAACCUUACCAGCUCUUGACAUGCCACGACGGUUUCCAGAGAUGGAUUCUUCCCCGCAAGGGGCGUGGACACAGGUGCUGCAUGGACUGUCGUCAGCUCGUGUCGUGAGAUGUUGGGUUAAGUCCCGCAACGAGCGCAACCCUGCCCUUAGUUGCCAGUCAUUUAGUUGGGCACUCUAAGGGGACU